ensembl:snRNA U6 U6 spliceosomal RNA
GUACUUUGGCAGCCUGUAUACUAAAAUUGGAGCAAUAGAGAAGAUUAACAUAGCACACUGUGCAAGAAUGACAUGUAAAUUCAUGAAAUAUUUGUAUUCUUU